GCCUUUCGAAAGAAAGAUUAAUACCCGAUGGCAUAGUUCUUCCGCAUGGUGGAACUAUUAAAGAAUUUCGGUCAUCGAUGGGGAUGCGUUCCAUUAGGUUGUUGGCGGGGUAACGGCCCACCAAGCCUUCGAUGGAUAGGGGUUCUGAGAGGAAGGUCCCCCACAUUGGAACUGAGACACGGUCCAAACUCCUACGGGAGGCAGCAUG
rnacentral:rRNA from 1 species